CAACAACACUAAAUGAAUUUACAGAUCCUGGCAGUUCCCUCCCCUGUUUUUCACAGCAAACUGUUGAUUCUUCUGAGGCAAAGCAAGAACUAAAAACGGUAUGUAUAAGAGAUUCACAAUCAAUUCUUGUUAGGACUCGAGGUGGGAACACUGGAGUUGUAAAAGUACAAACUAAUCCAGAACAAAAUUCACCCAACAGUUUAUCUUCAAGUUCUGUUUUCACCUUUGCACCUCAAUUUCAGGCGUUUCUUGUGCCAAAAUCAACAUCAUGCCCUACUU
rnacentral:lncRNA from 1 species